GUCCCAGCUUAAUGUUUUAUCUAAAAAGAUAAAGCAAAAAAUAAGUUUGGAUCUACAUGCGCUUUCACUACGGGAGCAUCGCUCUCAUAAAAUACAGCCUCAACAGCAAUGAAGGGGCAGUGAAUAUUAUUAAGUGAAAGAGCUACUGGUU
rnacentral:sRNA from 12 species